rnacentral:rRNA from 1 species
UGAGGAAUAUUGGUCAAUGGACGCAAGUCUGAACCAGCCAAGUAGCGUGCAGUAUGACGGCCCUAUGGGUUGUAAACUGCUUUUAUAUGGGGAUAAAGUGGGGAACGUGUUCCCUUUUGCAGGUACCAUAUGAAUAAGGACCGGCUAAUUCCGUGCCAGCAGCCGCGGCAAUACGGAAGGUUCGGGCGCUAUCCGGAUUUAUUGGGUUUAAAGGGAGCGUAGGCCGUUUGGUAAGCGUGUUGUGAAAUGUAGGAGCUCAACUUCUAGAUUGCAGCGCGAACUGUCAGACUUCAGUGCGCACAACGUAGGCGGAAUUCAUGGUGUAGCGGUGAAAUGCUUAGAUAUCAUGAAAAACUCCGAUUGCGAACGCAGCUUACGGGGGCGCAACUGACGCUGAAGCUCGAAGGUGCGGGUAUCGAACAGG